UACGGGGGGGGCAAGCGUUGUUCGGAAUUACUGGGCGUAAAGCGUGCGUAGGCGGUUCGUUAAGUUCGUCGUGAAAGCCCCGGGCUCAACCUGGGAAUGGUGAUGGAAACUGGCGGGCUGGAGUAUGGCAGAGGGGGGUGGAAUUCCGCGUGUAGCAGUGAAAUGCGCAGAUAUCAGGAGGAACACCGGUGGCGAAGGCGGGUCUCUGGGCCGAUACUGACGCUGAGGAGCGAAAGCGUGGGGAGCAAACAGG
rnacentral:rRNA from 1 species